rnacentral:rRNA from 1 species
UACGUAGGGGGCUAGCGUUGUCCGGAAUCAUUGGGCGUAAAGCGCGCGUAGGCGGCCAGAUAAGUCCGGUGUGAAAGUCACAGGCUCAACCUGUGAAUGCCGCUGGAAACUGUCUGGCUAGAGUCCGGAAGGGGCGAGUGGAAUUCCUGGUGUAGCGGUGAAAUGCGCAGAUAUCAGGAGGAACACCAGCGGCGAAGGCGGCGCUCUGGGCCGGUACUGACGCUGAGGAGCGAAAGCGUGGGUAGCAAACAGG